rnacentral:tRNA from 1 species
ACUAGGUAGGAGGUCCUGCUAUCA